UUAAGUAAGAAAGGGCGUACGGUGGAUGCCUAGGCACUUGAAACUGAAGAAGGACGCAACAAACGGCGAAACGCGGCGGGGAGCUGUACGUAAGCAAAGAUCCGCCGGUAUCCGAAUGGGGGAACCCGGCAUGCGUAAUAGCAUGUCAUCCGCAGAUGAACAAAUAGUCUGCGAGAGAGGUACCCGGGGAACUGAAACAUCUAAGUACCCGGAGGAAAAGAAAACAACAGUGAUUCCCUGAGUAGCGGCGAGCGAAAGGGGAGGAGCCCAAACCAGACCGAGGUCUGGGGUUGAAGGACCGCGAUACGGCAAGAAUCAUGGUAGGAGAACGGCAUUGAAAGGCCGACCGGAGAGGGUGCAAGUCCCGUAUCCGAAACCGUGAGGAAGCCCAGCGGGAUCCUGAGUACGGCGAGACACGAGAAAUCUUGUCGGAAGCAGGCGGGACCAUCCGUCAAGGCUAAAUAUAAGCAAGUGACCGAUAGUGAACCAGUACCGUGAGGGAAAGGUGAAAAGAACCGCGGGAGCGGAGUGAAACAGAACCUGAAACCGUAUGCUUACAAGAAGUCAGAGCACGUUAAGGUGUGAUGGCGUGCCUUUUGUAGAAUGAACCGGCGAGUUAUGUUAUCGUGCGAGGUUAAGCAGGAGAUGCGGAGCCGAAGCGAAAGCGAGUCUUAAUAGGGCGGCAGUACGAUGACAUAGACCCGAAACCGUGUGAUCUAGCCAUGACCAGGUUGAAGUUCAGGUGAAACUGAAUGGAGGACCGAACCGACCCCCGUUGAAAAGUUGGCGGAUGAGUUGUGGCUAGGGGAGAAAUUCCAAUCGAACACGGAUAUAGCUGGUUCUCCCCGAAAUAGCUUUAGGGCUAGCGUCGAGGAUGAGUCUUGUGGAGGUAGAGCACUGAAUGUACGAUGGCCCCAUCCCGGGGUACUGAGUAUAAUCAAACUCCGAAUGCCAUGAGAUAUUCCCGGCAGUCAGACCGUGGGUGAUAAGGUCCAUGGUCAAAAGGGAAACAGCCCAGACCGCCAGUUAAGGUCCCAAAAUGUAUGCUAAGUGGAAAAGGAUGUGGGGAUGCACAGACAACUAGGAGGUUGGCUCAGAAGCAGCCAUCCUUCAAAGAGUGCGUAACAGCUCACUAGUCGAGUGACCCUGCGCCGAAAAUGUACCGGGGCUAAGCAUACUACCGAAGCUGCGGAUUUGUAGUAAUACAAGUGGUAGGGGAGCGUUCCAUGCACGUGGAAGCCAUACCGAAAGGAGUGGUGGAGAGCAUGGAAGUGAGAAUGCCGGUGUGAGUAGCGAGAUGCAGGUGAGAAUCCUGCACACCGAUAGCCCAAGGAUUCCAGGGGAAGGUUCGUCCGCCCUGGGUAAGUCGGGACCUAAGGCGAGGCCGAAAGGCGUAGUCGAUGGAAAACAGGCAGAUAUUCCUGUACCCGCGAUGGAAAUGAAGGAAUGACGGAGAAGGCUAGCAUGAGCCACUUAUUGGAUUGUGGUCGAAGCGAAUAGCAGGUGCAUAGUAAAAUGCGUGCACGGAAUGUAAAACGUGACAGGUAAGCGAAACCCCUGGGGAGUAGCGAAGCAUGCGAGGCCAGCUUCCAGGAAAAGUUUCUAGUGCUGAUUCCAUAGCGGCCCGUACCAAAACCGACACAGGUGGGCAAGGAGAGUAUCCUGAGGUGAGCGAGAGAACUGUUGCCAAGGAACUCGGCAAAAUGACUCCGUAAGUUAGCGAGAAGGAGUGCUUAUGAAAGUAAGCCGCAGUGAAGAGGCCCAAGCGACUGUUUAACUAAAACACAGCUCUCUGCGAAGUCGCAAGACGAAGUAUAGGGGGUGACGCCUGCCCGGUGCUGGAAGGUUAAGAGGAUUUGUCAGUUUCGACGAAGCAAUGAAUUGAAGCCCCAGUGAACGGCGGCCGUAACUAUAACGGUCCUAAGGUAGCGAAAUUCCUUGUCAGGUAAGUUCUGACCCGCACGAAAGGCGU
rnacentral:rRNA from 1 species